UUAUUUUUCAGGUCACAUCCGAUAAAAUUUAAACGAUACAGAAAAGAUUAGCAAGGAUGACACGCAUAAAUUAAAAAUAAUCCAAAGUUUA
rnacentral:snRNA from 1 species